rnacentral:rRNA from 1 species
UACGUAGGCAGCGAGCGUUGUUCGGAAUUACUGGGCGUAAAGAGUGUGUAGGCGGUGCUCUAAGUUCGGUGUGAAAUCUCCUGCUCAACUGGGAGGGUGCGCCGGAAACUGGAGUGCUUGAGCGUGGGAGAGGAAAGCGGAAUUCCUGGUGUAGCGGUGAAAUGCGUAGAUAUCAGGAGGAACACCUGUGGUGUAGACGGCUUUCUGGACCAUAGCUGACGCUGAGACACGAAAGCCGUGGGUAGCAAACAGG